AACGAACGCUGGCGGCGUGGAUAAGACAUGCAAGUCGAACGAUUGUCAUCGGGUAGCAAUAUUCGGUGGCGAGAGUGGCGCAAGGGUGCGUAACACGUGGGUAAUUUGCUGUGAAGUCUGGAACAACUUGCUGAAAGGCGAGCUAAUACCGGAUGUGAUUUCUAGAAGGCAUCUUCUGGAACUUAAAGUCGGGGACCGCAAGGCCUGACGCUUCUCAAUAAACCCGCGGCCUAUCAGCUAGUUGGUGAGGUAACGGCUCACCAAGGCUAAGACGGGUAGCUGGUCUGAGAGGACGACCAGCCACACUGGAACUGAGACACGGUCCAGACACCUACGGGUGGCAG
rnacentral:rRNA from 1 species